CCAGCAUUUAAGGUUAGGGGACGUCAGAUGAGACUGCCGGUGACAAACCGGAGGAAGGUGGGGACGACGUCAAGUCAUCAUGGCCCUUAUGUCCUGGGCUACACACGUGCUACAAUGGCCGGUACAGAGUGAAGCGAAACCGCGAGGUGAAGCAAAACGCAGAAAGCCGGUCUCAGUACGGAUUGGAGUCUGAAACUCGACUUCAUGAAGUUGGAAUCGCUAGUAAUCGCGCAUCAGCAUGGCGCGGUGAAUACGUUCCCGGGCCUU
rnacentral:rRNA from 1 species